UUGGGGAUUUAGCUCAGUGGUAGAGCACUUGCCUAGCAAGCACAAGGCCCUGGGUUCAGUCCUCAGCUCUGGAAA
rnacentral:tRNA from 1 species